rnacentral:rRNA from 1 species
GGUUGACCUCGAAUCAGGUAGGGAUACCCGCUGAACUUAA